CCGCCCCGUCCGCGCAGCUCGUCCGGCCCGCCCGCAGGCCAGCUUCUCUCGGGAGCCUCCACCCAGGCGCAUGGCUCCAUGAAGCAAGAGGAGGAGGCAGAGCGCGAGAGAUCCCGUCCGCCCCAGCCGCGUCUGGGCCAGGAGAAAAGCAAAACCAUAUUCCUGCUGCUGUCAGUUUUGAUGCACUGAGAAAACUUCAGAGACCUAAGCUUUUUCCAGAGAAGAGAAGCUUUACUGGUGUUCCAGCCCUAAGAAACUUAAAUCCUCAGUGUGACACAACUCAGUCCUUCUACUGCAGCAGCUCUUUUAUAAAAGCCUCCCAAAGCUCCAAGAAGGAACAAAGAAUGUGACCCAGUAAGCUCACACCAUAAGUCUAUAUUGCAGAAACCUUUGUUCAACAAAACUGCAGAUGCUCUGUUGAAUCCACUGGAGAUUGUCCUGAUACUAAGGACAAGUAUGCUCAUAUGACAUUAACAGACAAGACACUUUUCAGAAAGACAGGCAACGUGUUGGACCUUCCGGAGCUUCUCAGAAGACAGAGGGUUUUCUUUUGAGGCUGUUGUACAGUGGCCUGAUUAUAGCUCACUGUAGCCUCGAAAUUCUGGGCCGAAAUGAUCCGCCUGCCUCAGCCUCCAAAGUAGCUGAGACUACAGGCUGGUCUUGAACUCUUGGGCUGAAGAGAUUCUCCCACCUCAGCCUCCCAAGGUGUUGAGAUUACAAGCAUGAGCCACCUCACCUGGCCAAGAGCUAGUUGUUAAAAGAGCCUAGCACUACCCCCCUCUUUCUUGUUUCCUCUCUCACCAUGUGAUCUCCACACACAUUGGCUUGCCUUCCCUUUCUGACAUGAGCGGAAGCAGCCUGAGGCCCUCACCAGAUGUGGAUGCCAGUGCCAUGCUUCUUGUACAAUCUGCAGAAUCAUAAGCUAAAUACACCUCUUUUCUUUAUAAAUUACCCAGCCUUGGGUAUUCCUUUAUAGCAACACAAACGGAGAAAGACAUAUGCAAUUUGCCAUUUUAAUCAUUUUUAACUGUACAAUUUGGUGGUAUUAAUUAUAUUUACAAUGUUGUGCAACCGUUACCACCAUCUAUUACCAAAGCCCUUUCAUCACCCCAAAUAGAAACUGUGCUUAUUCAGCAAAAACUCCCAUUUUCCUCUCCUUCCAGCCCCUGGUAACCUCUGGUAACCUCUAAUCUACCUCCUGUCUCUAUGAAUUUGCCUAUUGUAAAUAUUUCACAUAAUGGUAUCAUACACUAUCCUUUUGUGUCUAGCUUAUUUAACUUAGCAUAAUGUUUUCAAGGUUCAUCCAUCUUAUAGCAUGUAUCAGUAUUCCAUUCUUCUUUUCUAUGGCUGAAUAAUAAUUGUAUGUAUAUACUGCA
rnacentral:lncRNA from 1 species